CAAGUACUCCCUCCGUCUGGAAUUACUUGUCAUCAAAAUGGAUGUGUCUAGAACUAAAAUACAUCUAGAUACAUCCAUUUCAAUGACAAGUAUUUUUGGACGGAGGGAGUACAAG
rfam:Triticum urartu cultivar G1812 contig375376, whole genome shotgun sequence.